rnacentral:rRNA from 1 species
AAUAUUGGACGAUGGGCGAACGCAUGAUCCAGCCAUCCCGGGUGUGUGAGGAAGGUCUUCGGAUUGUAAAGCACUUUAAGUGGGGUGGGAGGGUUGUGGAGUAAUAAUCUGCAGUUUUGACGGCACCCACAGAAUAAGCACCGGCGAACUUCGUGCGAGCAGCCGCGGUGAUACGAAGGGUGCAAGGUUUAAUCGGCAUUACUGGGCGUAAAGCGCGCGUAGGUGGUGCGUUAAGUUGGAUGGGAAAGACCCGCGCUCAACCUGGCAACUGCAUCCAAAGCUGGCGGGCUAGAGUACGGUAGAGGGUGGUGGAAUUUCCUGUGUAGCGGUGAAAUGCGUAGUUAUAAGAAGGAACACCAGUGGCGAAGGCGACCACCUGGACUGAUACUAACACUGCGGUGCGAAAGCAUGGGGAGCAGACAGG